GAGCUUUAAUUAACUAACUCAUAAAUUAAAAAUUAAUAUCACUAUUCCAAAAAGAAGUAAACAUAUUUUAAUUGAGUUAACAAUUUAGGUUGGGGUGACCUCGGAGUAAAAUUUAACCUCCGAAAAUAUUCUAUUUAGACUUACCAGUCAAAAUUAUUUAACUUUAUACUGAUCCGCUCUGCGAUCAACGGAACAAGUUACCCUAGGGAUAACAGCGCAAUCCUAUUUUAGAGUUCAUAUCGACACUAGGGUUUAC
rnacentral:rRNA from 1 species